rnacentral:misc_RNA from 1 species
UCUCAGUCAUUUAAAUGGAUAACUAACGGCCAAGAAAUAAUUAAAAAAAGAAGAGAAGAAAAGGGACAUAAAGCACCACCAUGAAUUUCUUCAUAUUGAAAGAUCAGCCAAGCCAAAAGUUCUUUCCACAGCUUUGCACCAAGAAUCCAGCUUCUUCUUCCUUAGGUUUUCAUCUAUUAAGGGGCGGAAAAUGGUAUCCGUCAUCUUAACCUUUUCUCCAGAAGCAAAUAUCUCCUCCUCUUUCCAAACCCCAACAGCCAAACCAGCAGCAUAGGCCGCUCCAAGAGCAGUUGUCUCUAUAUCAGCUGGUCUCACAACUGGGCAUCCCAACAAGUCUGCCUGAGAUUGCAUCAGAAGGUUGUUAACAGUUGC